UCCCUGGUGGCUCAGACUGUAAAGAAUCUGCUUGCAAUGCAGAAGACCCAGGUUCAAUCCCUGGAUUGGAAA
rnacentral:tRNA from 1 species